GUGGGACUGGGGCUCAGUGGUAGAGCACUUACCUUCCAUGUGUGGGCACUGGGUUCGAUCCUCAGCACCACA
rnacentral:tRNA from 1 species